AUGAACGCUGGCGGCGUGCCUAAUACAUGCCAGUCGAGCGAACGGACGGGAAGCUUGCUUCUCUGAUGUUAGCGGCGGACGGGUGAGUAACACGUGGAUAACCUACCUAUAAGACUGGGAUAACUUCGGGAAACCGGAGCUAAUACCGGAUAAUAUUUUGAACCGCAUGGUUCAAAAGUGAAAGACGGUCUUGCUGUCACUUAUAGAUGGAUCCGCGCUGCAUUAGCUAGUUGGUAAGGUAACGGCUUACCAAGGCAACGAUGCAUAGCCGACCUGAGAGGGUGAUCGGCCACACUGGAACUGAGACACGGUCCAGACUCCUACGGGAGGCAGCAGUAGGGAAUCUUCCGCAAUGGGCGAAAGCCUGACGGAGCAACGCCGCGUGAGUGAUGAAGGUCUUCGGAUCGUAAAACUCUGUUAUUAGGGAAGAACAUAUGUGUAAGUAACUGUGCACAUCUUGACGGUACCUAAUCAGAAAGCCACGGCUAACUACGUG
rnacentral:rRNA from 1 species